rnacentral:tRNA from 1 species
GGGUAGGGACGGGAAACUGGAAAACGGGCACGAAAAGGACUUUUAAUCCAUUGGUCGUGGGUUCGAAUCCCGCACGACCCACCA